AAAACCUCAUUGGAGAUGCUGGAGUGGAGAAACUGGCUAAAGCUUAGCCAUCAGUCCCUUCUCUACAGAGCCUCAGCCUCUAUGGAAAUGUAAUUUCUGACAGUGGAGCUGAACAUCUGGCCUUGGUUUUACCAGACAUGAACUUCCUGCAGGACUUGGAUGUUAAGUUCAACAAGUUCACAGACAUUGGAGCUACAAAGCUCAGUGCUGCUCUGAAAAACUGUACAGGAAUGAAGUCU